AACGAACGCUGGCGGCAUGCCUAACACAUGCAAGUCGAACGAGACCUUCGGGUCUAGUGGCGCACGGGUGCGUAACGCGUGGGAACCUGCCCUUAGGUUCGGAAUAACUCCCCGAAAGGGGUGCUAAUACCGGAUAAUGUCUUCGGACCAAAGAUUUAUCGCCUUUGGAUGGUCCCGCGUUGGAUUAGCUAGUUGGUAGGGUAAAAGCAUACCAAGGCGACGAUCCAUAGCUGGUCUGAGAGGAUGAUCAGCCACACUGGGACUGAGACACGGCCCAGACUCCUACGGGAGGCAGCAGUGGGGAAUAUUGGACAAUGGGCGAAGGCCUGAUCCAGCAAUGCCGCGUGAGUGAUGAAGGCCUUAGGGUUGUAAAGCUCUUUUACCCGGGAUGAUAAUGACAGUACCGGGAGAAUAAGCUCCGGCUAACUCCGUG
rnacentral:rRNA from 1 species